AGGUAUUGUUAUUAUCCCCAUUUUAAAGGUGAGGAAACUAAGGCAACCAACACAGCUACAAGGUGUCUCACUUUUGAACUCAGAUCUUCCGGACUCCAAGCCUAGGCUCAGCAAUCAUAUGUAAAUUAACCCCAUAAAAUUGGUUUGAAUUAUAUCUGUUGUAGUAAAUUCACGUGAUUGUAUGUAUCAAUUCUUUUAUCCUUCCAAAUCAUAAAUUUAGAGAUAGAAGAAUCUGAGAAUUAUCCAUCUCCAUCAAUCAAUCAGUCAGUCAACAAACAUUAGGUGUUGACUAUAUUCACAGUACUAAAUCCCACAGAGAUACAAAGAAAGGCAAAAAAAAAAAAAAAAAAAUCUGCUUUUAACCAGCUCACAAUCUAAUGAUGGCAGUUCACAAUUUAAUGAAGGAGACGAUCAUGUAACUACAAAUGUGCAUACCAUACAGACAUAUAGACAGGAUAGAUUGGAGAUCAUCCCAGAGACAAGGCACUAAGUAAGAUUAAGGAGGAUUGGGAGAGGCUAUUGGAGGUGGGAUUUUAGGUAAAAUAUGAAGGCAACCAGAGAAGAUAGACGCUGGAAAUGAGAAAGGAGAGGAUUCCAGAAAUGCGGGACAGCAGUAGAGAUGCUCAAGAGUAGGGAGCUAGAGUAUCAUGCUCAAGAAACAGCACUUUGCAAAUGAUAAAAUUUAGAUACAGAAAAGAUAUUUCUUUUGGGCCCAAGUUAGAAAGUGUCAGAGACUGGAUUUGCAACCAAGUCCUUUGAUUCCAUAGUCUUCCUUCUAUUAUACCACUUUUGCUGACUCCUCACCCCAACUGAGGUGGAUGUCUCUGCAAACAUGACAGCAGCUGAUGUUUUUAUUUGAAAAGACUACCUCUGACUCUUUAGUCCAUUCCAAGAGAAAGUUAGUACCAAAGAUUUUGAAAAGCCUAUUGAAGCCUAACUAUUGGAGGAGGGAAAGCAUGGAGUGGAGAAACAAUUCAUUAAAAUCUUUAAUUUAAUCCCCCAACUCUCAAAUGGAUCUAUUGCUAGAAUCCUGGUGUCAGUAUAACUUGAACCUAUUCAUACCCAACGUCUAUCUUAGAAAUCUAUCAUUUAUAUCUAACACGCAAAAGAUAAUGAAAAAUAAAAAAUAUGACUCAACGAAUUUAGCAGUUUCCUUCUAUCUACUGUGAAUUUACUUGUAUUUCAAAUGUGUCAAUUUCAACACAAGAAUUUCCAAAUUUCAUUCAUAUAAAUUUUAAAUCUAUCCUAACAUAUUUUCCUAAUUGGUUUUAUAUUUACAGGAAGUCUAAAAAUAGAUUUUGGAGUUCUAAUUUACUACAGAGCCCUUUUUAAAAUUUUAUAUUGUGAACUUAAGUUGUCUUAUUCUAUAUAUAUUUAUAGAAAUUCACAGUAGAUAGAAAAUUAGCUCUGAUGUCAGGAGGGCUAAGUUCAAAAUUUGGCCUCAGACAUGUACUAGCUGUGUGACAUUGGAAAGAAAAAAAAGGAAGAAGGAGGAGAGGAGAAGGAGGAAAAGAAAAAGAACAGAAAUUCAGUGUGGAUGGAUCUAGACCUGAAAGGGCCUCUGAAGCCUAUUUAAACUAACUUUUUUUAUUUUACAGCUGCAGAAACUGUACCCAAAAAAUUGAAUUAAUUUAAGGUCUCACAGUUAGAAAUCAGCAGAGAUAAACUUUGAACUCACAUUCUCCAAGUCCAGAGCAAGCUCUCUAUCACACUACCUCCUAUGCUUCACACAGUGCAGUAAAGUUAAACAAAGCAAAAUAUUAUUUUCAAGGUCACAAUUCAAAGCAAAUUUCCCUCCUAUAAUUACUCCUCUGAGUAAUCAAGUUUGCAUCAUUAAGUCAGUUGUCAGAGGAGAUAAAAUGAGAUCUGAAUGAACAUCCCUAAAUUUGACUAGUAUAGAGAAAACUCCUUUUGUAUAAUACCAAACUAAAAGGCUUAACAAUAUUUUCUCAAAAGAUUUCCCACCCAUAGUUUGAUUAAAGGAACACUUCAGAUACUUAAGGGGGAAAAAAAGUUUUCAUUAUCUUAUUAUUAGAAACCCUAAAAAGUCUGAUUCAAAAUAAAAGCACUCCAUCCCAACCCUCUACCCUAUCUUAAAAAUGAAUAUUUUGUGAAUACUGUGAUGAUGAAAUAUAAAAAGAAAAUACAUAUUUAUUAAGUGGUGAUAAGUGAUGAAUAUCUUAUCUAAAAAAAUUAGCAUGAAGAACAAUUAGUUACUAUCAGUUUAAUAAUGUCUUUCUUAAGUUAAAAUCUGUACAUUAGUGAAAAAACGAAAUUUCUGAGAGACUUAACAACCUCCCCCAAAAGUUGUAAGUGAACCUGCCCAUACAUAGCAAAGUUCUGAUGAGGUCAUAGAACCAUUGUUUUCUCACCUAGUGAGGUCAAAGUUCUGAGGUGCAACCUUACAAUAGUACCAUAGUUGUCUACCCUAAAGAAAAAUUCUACAAAGAGUAGUUUAUGGAAGAACUCUUUAGAAGAAAACUUCCAAGUCUUGCUGAAUCCCUUAUAUACAUAGAAUUCAUAACCUAAUCAUAAAUGAACACAAAACAGUUUGGGGGACUCAGGAUGAGAUGGCACAAACCUGUUAUCCCCAGGUGAGAAGACAGGAGAAUUCGGUGCGAUCACAUGAUUGGAUCUCCCUCACUCAGUCUGGAAGUGUAUGAGCCUGAUCCCACUACUGAUCAGUACAGGUCCUAAAUUCCUGUUGGCUCUGUGAUAAAAGUGGAGCAUAUUUAAGUAAGGGAGUCUUCUGAAAGUGCUGGUAGCAAAACUAAGACUCCAAAUCAUCAAACUUGGAAUUUAAAGAAGACUGGAGUGGAAAGGAACCUCCAAUUUCAUCAAGACCAACAUUCACCCUCCCUUCUUUUGAGAAAUGAAGAUACUGAAGCCAAGUGACUUGCUCCAAGGUCCAUUUCAUUCACAACAAAAUUAAGAAAUUCCCUUGAUUAUAUCAGGGCCCACAAGUGUUCUCACAUGACAUGGAAUUUUGAAUAAAUUGUUCUCCUUAGC